CCCUGCCCCUCUCUCUGCCUAUUGGUUGUGGGUGGAGAUUGGGAAAGGGCGUCAGGCCAAUUGGCCACACCUGUGGGGGUAUAGGGAUCCAGAGAUUUAAGGGCUGGGUAGCCAUGUGUUCAGUCUCUCUUUGCUGCUUCUAGGCUGAGCUUUGGGCUCCGUCUUCCACCCGCCAUGUGGUCUUAAGUAUAAUCUCUUUUGUUUAAGUAUAAUUAUUUAUGUUUACUUUAACCAGUAAAAACGAGUUACUAAUAAAUUAGUUUUUCUUUA